rnacentral:rRNA from 1 species
CCUACGGGGGGCUGCAGUGGGGAAUAUUGGACAAUGGGCGAAAACCUGAUCCAGCCAUGCCGCGUGUGUGAAGAAGGCCUUCGGGUUGUAAAGCACUUUCAGUGGGGAAGAAAGCCUUGGGGCUAAUACCCUCGAGGAAGGACAUCACCCACAGAAGAAGCACCGGCUAACUCCGUGCCAGCAGCCGCGGUAAUACGGAGGGUGCGAGCGUUAAUCGGAAUUACUGGGCGUAAAGCGCGCGUAGGCGGUCUGAUAAGCCGGUUGUGAAAGCCCCGGGCUCAACCUGGGAACGGCAUCCGGAACUGUCAGGCUAGAGUGCAGGAGAGGAAGGUAGAAUUCCCGGUGUAGCGGUGAAAUGCGUAGAGAUCGGGAGGAAUACCAGUGGCGAAGGCGGCCUUCUGGACUGACACUGACGCUGAGGUGCGAAAGCGUGGGUAGCAAACAGGAUUACAUACCCUAGUAGUC